CACCAAUCAGCACUCUGUAAAACAGACCAAUCAGUACUCUGUAAAAUGGACCAAUCAGUGCUCUGUAAAAUGGACCAAUCAGCAGGACGUGGGCGGGGCCAAAUAAGGGAAUAAAAGCUGGUCACCUGCGCCAGCUGUGGCAAUCCGCUGGGGUCUGCCUCCACGUGUGGAAUCUUUGUUCUUUUGCUCUUCACAGUAAAGCUUGCUGCUGCUCACCCUUUGGGUCCACACUACUUUUAUGAGCUGUAACACUCACUGCCAAGGUCUGCAGCUUCACUCCUGAAGUCAGCGAGACCACAAACCCCCUGGAAGGAAGAAACUCCGGACACAUCCGAACACCUGAAGGAACAAAUUCCGGACACACCAUAUUUAAGAACUGUAACACUCACUGAGAGGGUCCGCGGCUUCAUUCUUGAAGUCAGCGAGACCAAGAACCCACUGGAAGGAACCAAUUCUGGACACAAAAGGAUAUCAGGAAAAGUGCAGAGUGUGGUACAAAAUGCAGGGGGAAAGGAGUCAUUGAUAACCAUGAAAAGAACAUUGGUAUGGUAAAGAAAGAAGAGGAACUGGGAAUGCAUGGAAGAGAGAAUAGAAGGUGAACUGAGGAAGAAGAUCAUUGAGACAUUGACAGGUAUGUUCCAGGUUGAAUGGCUCUCCUUCAAGUGGGCUCCUUCUAUCUUGUGGCUCCAUCUUCUUCGGUA
rnacentral:lncRNA from 10 species